GUGGUUGGGGAGUUUUUCGGGGAGCCCUGACCCUGAGAGUUGCUGCUGCUGUUGCUGUGUCAGCCCCAGCAGCAGCUCAUCCUGCAUGGAAUAUCAGUCUGAAUCUACAUGAAGGAUGGAUUGGAGAGGGAAGAGACUCGAAGCAGGCUAUCAAAGAGCCCAUUGCAAUAAUAGUCCUGGUAAGAGAAGAAGAGAACCUUGGCUUGAAUGGCGGACGUGUGGGUGGAAAAAAGUGGACAGAUGAAAGCCAUGUUUUAGAAAUACAAUUGGCAAGCCUUGGCAACUAAUUCAAUGUGUAUGGUGAGAGAGAGAAAGUCUAGAAUAGGGUUUCCCUCUGACUUUUCGUUUGGCCGCCUCUGCACAUCUGUUGAUCCAAGGCUGCACAUAUAUAAAUCCAGAAAGAUGUAAAUGUAAAAAAAAAAAAAAGGCAUUUCAGUAAGAUCAGCUCAUUGUCAGAGUUUCUGCUUGCUACUUUCACUUCCACCACCUAACCUUUGAAAGUUGUUAUUAAUCCCUCAACCCAAGGCACGUCUGGCUCUGACAGUUGAUACUCGCCUGGCCCUUUCACCUGCCAGACUUCUUGGACUCCGAACCUAUUUCAAGGUCUGACCUUGAAUCUACAUGCCUAAUCCCACAAGCUGCCUAAUGACCCUUGUCUUCCUGCCUUUCACGAGCCAACAAGACAGCAGAGAGCAUCACUGAAAUCUCUACAUUUUGUUACUUCUUAACUUUUCAGUGAACCACAGAUGUCACUGGCAUGCAUGGUAUGGUUAAGGGCAAAAGCUAGACAGGUUUGCUUGCCAAAAGAUCUAAGACACAACUACUGUUAUCAGAAUUGUUGUUAUCAUAACCAAUGUAUUUCUUACCAAUAAAGGUGAGCAGAUGUGAA